rnacentral:rRNA from 1 species
UUCCAGACUCCUACGGGAGGCAGCAGUGAGGAAUAUUGGUCAAUGGACGCAAGUCUGAACCAGCCAAGUAGCGUGCAGGAUGACGGCCCUCCGGGUUGUAAACUGCUUUUAGUUGGGAAUAAAAGGGGGCUCGUGAGCCCCGUAUUGUAUGUACCAUCAGAAAAAGGACCGGCUAAUUCCGUGCCAGCAGCCGCGGUAAUACGGAGGAUGCGAGCGUUAUCCGGAUUUAUUGGGUUUAAAGGGUGCGCAGGCGGAAUGUCAAGUCAGCGGUAAAAUUUCGGGGCUCAACCCCGUCGUGCCGUUGAAACUGGCGUUCUUGAGUGAGCGAGAAGUAUGCGGAAUGCGUGGUGUAGCGGUGAAAUGCAUAGAUAUCACGCAGAACUCCGAUUGCGAAGGCAGCAUACCGGCGCUCAACUGACGCUCAUGCACGAAAGCGUGGGUAUCGAACAGGAUUAGAUACCCCAGUA